AGGGUUGUGGCUCAGUGGUAGAGCACCAUCCUAGCAUGUGGGAAGCGCUGGGUUCAAUCCUCAGCACUGCUG
rnacentral:tRNA from 1 species